GGAGCCCCAGGAAUACCCACCCGCUGCCCAGAUCGGCAGCCGCUGCUGCGGGGAGAAGCAGUAUCGUGCAGGGCGGGCACGCUGGUCUUGCUUACAGUUGGGCUUCGGUGGGUUUGAAGCACACAUUAGGGGGAAAUGGCUCUGUUCCUGCAGGUUUGCGCAGUCUGGGUUUCUUAGGUUUAGGGGGUUGGGUGGGUUUCUCUGGGGGUGCGGUGGGAAGCGGAUCAGUUCGGAUAACGGCCCUGAGCAAGAGUCUCUGUCCCGCUCCCGGCCUGACGCGGGGCUUCCAGCGGACACGACCAACGAUUUUAUAGGUUCAGAAAGUGUGUCUCAGAGGAGUUAGAGAAGACCGAUUAAUAGAUGACAGUGCUAAAGCCUGGAUCUCCUGAAUCCUGGAUGAAAGUGUCCUAAGUUAGAUUCCUGGGAAGAAAAUUCUGAGACACAUUCUGCAGGAUGAUUAUUAGGGCUCAUCCUUGGUUUCAACACCCAUAGAAGGAAGGGGGAAGAAGAAAUCGAACAGAGAGACAGAAGUCGAGAUGCAUUUCAGGCCAGGACUCUUGGCUGAACCCACAGGAGCUCUGGAGCUAGAAUGGCCCUUCAGAGUUGUCCUGAGUUGGUCUGAGAUGGCCAGUUCUUUAUAUUCCUGCAUGGGAUAGUCACUGGAUGUCCACCCCAGGAAGGGGUGUGGCCAAGACAGUCCCUAAAAUGCCCGCCAGCACUCCCUACACCUGGAGCGACAAGACCAACAUCACAGGGGGAAUGCACUGGGUGAUGGAUCACAGCGUUCAUCCCAGAAGAUGAGGAUACAGAAUUGGCUGACAACUACGUUCUAAAUGUCAGUGUUCUCCAAAAUUCAUAUGUUGAAACUUAAUUCCCAAUGUGAUGGCAUUAGGAAGUGGGGCCUUUGGGGGAGGGACUAUAGGUCAUGAGGGUGUAACCCUCAUCAAUGGGAUUAGUGUCCAGAGAGCUGCCUUGCCCUUCCACCAUGUGAGGACAUAGUGAGAAGGUGCCAUCUAUGAACUAGGAAGUGGGCGCUUACCACCAGACACCCACUCUUCUGGCAACUUGAUCUUGAAUUUCCCAGCCUCCAGAACUCUGAGAAAUCAAUUUCUGUUAAUUAUAAGCUACCCAGUCGAUAGCAUUUUGUUAAAGCUGCUGGAACUAAACUAAGACACUGACGCUUUCUGCGACAAAAAGAUAGAGUGAGUCUCUAUAGCAUACCAUGUAACAGAUGUUUUUGGAAAAAUAACCUCAUUUCAUAUGUUUCCUCAAGAUAAAAAGAAUGUCAUAACAACAAAUGAGAAAAUAGUUGCUUUAGAAAUAUUGCACCCUAUGGAGAGAGUAUUUUGGAUUUUGGUUUUUUGUUUUGUUUUUUAACUUUUGUUUUAGGUUUGGGGGUACAUAUGCAGGUUUGUUAUAUAGGUAAACUCAUGUCACAGGGGUUUGUUGUACAGAUAAUUUCCUCACCCAGGUACUAAGCCUAGUACCCAAUAGUUGCUUUUUCUCCUCCUCUCUCUCCUCCCACCCUCCACCCUCAAAUAGGCCCCAGUGUAUGUUGUUCUCUUCAUUAUGUUCAUGAAGUUGAGAGAGUGUUUUGAAAAAGAAUGUUGGAAAGCAUUUCCACUGUUAGAUGAUUUUAAGUCAAAAAGUUAUACAACAGUGUGACCUAUUUGCACACAAGCAUGGACACAGAAUUGUGUCAUAUGUUUAAAACUUUUCUAGAUCCUUUUGUGGUUCAUAAGCUUGAUGAUUGAGUUUUCGCGUCCACAUGUGAGAUGUGCCUCCCUUGAGCCUUGUCAUUGGCACAUUACCUGCCUGAUGUGAACAAUAAAAAUAAAAAAUAAAAAUUUGCUAAGCA
ensembl:lncRNA ELOVL2-AS1 ELOVL2 antisense RNA 1